GGGUUGUGAGGUUAAGUGACUAAGCGUACACGGUGGAUGCCUAGGCAGUCAGAGGCGAUGAAGGGCGUGCUAAUCUGCGAAAAGCGUCGGUAAGGUGAUAUGAACCGUUAUAACCGGCGAUACCCGAAUGGGGAAACCCAGUGUGUUUCGACACAYUAUCAUGUCAUGAAUACAUAGUGGCAUGAGGCGAACCGGGGGAACU
rnacentral:rRNA from 1 species